GACGAACGCUGGCGGCGUGCUUAACACAUGCAAGUCGAACGGUAAGGCCCUUCGGGGUACACGAGUGGCGAACGGGUGAGUAACACGUGGGUGAUCUGCCCUGCACUUCGGGAUAAGCCUGGGAAACUGGGUCUAAUACCGGAUAGGACCACUGCCUGCAUGGGUGGUGGUGGAAAGCUUUUGCGGUGUGGGAUGGGCCCGCGGCCUAUCAGCUUGUUGGUGGGGUGAUGGCCUACCAAGGCGACGACGGGUAGCCGGCCUGAGAGGGUGACCGGCCACACUGGGACUGAGACACGGCCCAGACUCCUACGGGAGGCAGCAGUGAGGAAUUUUGCGCAAUGGACGAAAGUCUGACGCAGCAAUGCCGCGUGAAGGAUGAAGGUCUUCGGAUUGUAAACUUCUUUUUUAUGGGAAGAUUAUGACGGUACCGUAAGAAUAAGAGCCUGCUAACUACGUGCCAGCAGCCGCCGUAA
rnacentral:rRNA from 1 species